rnacentral:misc_RNA from 1 species
CUGUAAGACCAUAGGGUUUUGAGACUGCGUCCACAGCGGCGUGUGCUCGACCCUUACUCUUUCAUCCACACACACCUUUGUGCACUAUGGGACGCAAGUCCCCUUUUUACAUAAAUACCUAGUUAUAUGCAUGUUUUAAUGUACUCUACGGAGUAAUGUA